rnacentral:lncRNA from 1 species
GUCAGGGGCUAGAUGUCAGGGACCAGAGAUCAGAGGCUAGAUGUCAGGGACUAGAGGUCAGGGGCUAGAGGUCAAGGGACUAGAUGUCAGGGGCUAGAGGGCUAGAGGUCAGGGGCUAGAGGUCAGGGGCUAGAGGUCAAGGACUAGAGGUCAGGGGCUAGAGGUCAGGGACUAGAGGUCAGGGGCUAGAGGUCAGGGGCUAGAGGUCAGGGACUAGAGGUCAGGGGCUAGAGGUCAGGGGCUAGAGGUCAGGGACUAGAGGUCAGGGACUAGAGGUCAGGGGUUGAAGGUGCUGAAUUCCUCUCCCUGUACUCCAGACAGAUACCAUCAUUCUAAACAACUAUAAAUCACUAGUCAUCAAUUAUUUACCAGGAAUCAAUACAGCUAUCAGUUCCCCCUCCUUUAUGUCUGUCAACAACUGUGUGACUAUCAUUUACAACAACACCCACACAUUAAUAUAUAUCUAUAUGAUUACAACAACACCCACACAUAAAUAUAUAUCUAUAUGAUUACAGCAACACCCACACAUAAAUAUAUAUCUAUAUGAUUACAGCAACACCCACACAUAAAUAUAUAUCUAUAUGAUUACAACACCCACACAUAAAUAUAUAUCUAUAUGAUUACAGCAACACCCACACAUAAAUAUAUAUCUAUAUGAUUACAACAACACCCACAGAUAAAUAUAUAUCUAUAUGAUUACAGCAACACCCACACAUAAAUAUAUAUAUGAUUACAACAACACCCACACAUAAAUAUAUAUCUAUAUGAUUACAGCAACACCCACACAUAAAUAUACAUCUAUAUGAUUACAACAACACCCACACAUAAAUAUAUAUCUAUAUGAUUACAGCAACACCCACACAUUAAUAUACAUCUAUAUGUUUACAGCAACACCCACACAUAAAUAUAUAUCUAUAUGAUUACAGCAACACCCACAGAUAAAUAUAUAUCUGCAAUAUGACCAGACAGCAGUAUAAAAGUGGGAUAAUAGAACAGAAGAGACUUGACUGUUCAACAUACAAAAUCCUCAAAUUCAUUACUUGAGACCAGAUGGCACCAAAUGAUGCCAUUUGGCACUUUCCCCUAGGUACAGAUCUAGGAUCAGUUUCCCCUAGGUAUAUAUCUAGGAUCAGUUUCCCCUAAGUACAGAUCUAGGAUCAGUUUCCCCUAGGUAUAUAUCUAGGAUCCGUUUCCCCUAGGUACAUAUAUAGGAUCAGUUUCCUCCAGGUACAGGAUCAGUUUCCCCUAGGUACAUAUAUAGGAUCAGUUUCCUCUAGGUACAUACCUAGGAUCAGUUUCCUCCAGGUACAGAUCUAGGAUCAGUUUCCCCU